rnacentral:tRNA from 1 species
GUGGGUAUAGCUCAGUUGGUUAGAGCGUUAGAUUGUGGUUCUAAAGGUCACGAGUUCAAAUCUCGUUACCCACC